GGAAGGAGCUUGCUCUUUCUGGAUGAGUUGCGAACGGGUGAGUAACGCGUAGGUAACCUGCCUCUUAGCGGGGGAUAACUAUUGGAAACGAUAGCUAAUACCGCAUAAUAGUCGACAUUGCAUGAAGUUGACUUGAAAGGUGCAAUUGCAUCACUAAGAGAUGGACCUGCGUUGUAUUAGCUAGUUGGUGAGGUAACGGCUCACCAAGGCGACGAUACAUAGCCGACCUGAGAGGGUGAUCGGCCACACUGGGACUGAGACACGGCCCAGACUCCUACGGGAGGCAGCAGUAGGGAAUCUUCGGCAAUGGGGGGAACCCUGACCGAGCAACGCCGCGUGAGUGAAGAAGGUUUUCGGAUCGUAAAGCUCUGUUGUAAGAGAAGAACGAGUGUGAGAGUGGAAAGUUCACACUGUGACGGUAUCUUACCAGAAAGGGACGGCUAACUACGUGCCAGCAGCCGCGGUAAUACGUAGGUCCCGAGCGUUAUCCGGAUUUAUUGGGCGUAAAGCGAGCGCAGGCGGUUAGAUAAGUCUGAAGUUAAAGGCUGUGGCUUAACCAUAGUACGCUUUGGAAACUGUUUAACUUGAGUGCAAGAGGGGAGAGUGGAAUUCCAUGUGUAGCGGUGAAUGCGUAGAUAUAUGGAGGAACACCGGUGGCGAAAGCGGCUCUCUGGCUUGUAACUGACGCUGAGGCUCGAAAGCGUGGGGAGCAAACAGGAUUAGAUAUCCUGGUAGUCCACGCCGUAAACGAUGAGUGCUAGGUGUUAGACCCUUUCCGGGGUUUAGUGCCGCAGCUAAC
rnacentral:rRNA from 1 species